rnacentral:rRNA from 1 species
AGCUCGUGUCGUGAGAUUGUUGGGUUUAAGUCCCCGCAACGAGCGCAACCCCUGUGGUUAGUUGCCAGCAAGUAGCGUUUGGGCACUCUAGCCAGACUGCCGGUGAUAAUCGGAGGAAGGUGGGGACGACGUCAAAUCAUCAUGCCCUUUAUGUCCUGGGCUACACACGUACUACAAUGGCCGUUACAACGGGAAGCGAAGGAGCAAUCCGGAGCAAAUCCCUUAAAGGCGGUCCCAGUUCAGAUUGUGGGCUGAAACUCGCCCACAUGAAGGCGGAAUUGCUAGUAAUUGCAGAUCAGCAUGCUGCAGUGAAUACGUUCCCGGGCCUU